UCUCCCUUGAACAGAAAAAUGUAGAUUGUCGCACACCAUUCAAACAAAAACUUUUGGUAUGUUUACACAGUUAAUUUAAUAUCAUUAUUUUUUUUUAAUUAUUCCUGCUAAAGGAGGAAGAUAAAGACUAGGUAACAGGUAACAGGUAGAAAUAUGAUUUGGUUCGAGUGCCAAAGUUUUCAAGACGACUAAAAUUAUAUUAUAUAAAUCUACGACAACUCGCCCCCUGGAAAAUUGCCCUUUUUCACCAACUCGACCCACUUUUCAAUUUAAAAAAAACCGUGGAUAUAUAUGUAGGACUCUAAAGUGCGAUGGGGACGCUAAAGUACGAUGGUCACGCUAAAGUGCGAUGGUCUACGCUAAAGUGCGAUUCCUCCAUACGCUAAAGUCACAGGCAUCAUUUACGUUGAUAGUGGGUCUUCCAAUGGAUAGAAACAAGUGGCUGUGGCUAAAGUCCGAAGUUCUGCGAAAGUAUAGACGUAAGAAACGUAGAUGGAUUAUGACGUUAACAGUCGUUUAUACAAACUAAAAAUGAACACGCCGGAAGACAACUAACAAAUGUUUCAUUCAUAAGAACUUCAAGUUUUCAUCCAAAUGUCUAGUUUCUACAUUGCAGAAAAAUAUAACAUGGAUGUAUAGUGAUCAUGAUCUAUAGUCGCUACAAAAAAAGGAGAACAUUAAGCUCGGCAAACAUUGCUUUUCCCUCUCAUUUAAAUUAAACAAAUAAUUGUUACAUAUUCCGACAAUAAUCGAAUUUUGUAUCUGUAAUGUAAAAAGGACGAUUGUAAGAGGAUGUGUUCCCAUUAGUGUAACGGCAAUCUACACCAAUUAUCCAAAUAGUCAAUACGCUUCAUUUCACAUAAAAUAUAAUAUUUUGCGACACAUAAAUUACCUUUUUAGCAAUUGUUACGUACUUUGGUCAGUCUUUUUAAUUUAGAAACAAUCACUUUAGCCUAUCGGUAAAUUAUGAAGCCUAUCACAUAUGUUAUACCUUAGCAUACUAGCUUUUGCUAUAAAAAAAACUAUGUUUAAACCUCGAUGUUUUGAUCCCUCUAAUCUUAACUUUUUGUUCCAUCGCACUUUAGCGUGAAAUACCAUCGUACUUUAGCGAACAAACAACCAUCGCACUUAAGCGUGAGACACCAUCGUAUUUUAGCGUAGACCAUCACACUUUAGCGUGACCAUCACACUUUAGAGUACCAUUGCACUUUAGAGUCCUACAUAUAUAUAUAUAUUGACAGUGGCAGUGAGCAUAAUUGAUAAGUACUAGAUUCUAGAUGCUUUUCAAAUGGAGAUGAAUUCCAAUCAUUAAAAUCGAGAAUUGAAAAUCUAAAACAUUCAAAUUAAAUUCAAAUAUUUUUAUAUUCUUUAUGUCCUUUAUUCUUUAUGUCCUUUAUUCUUAAACAAAUUACAAAUUCAUACAAUAUCCACACAAAUAGUCCAAAUUCUGUAUUCAAAUAAUUAUGCGUCCAAAUAAUUAUGAGGUCUUGAAAGAAUAGAAUAGAAUAGAAUAGAAUAGAAUAUUUUUAUAAAUUUCCCAAAUUACAGGGCCCAUAAAGGGCUAGUCUCAAAGAAAAAAAUUAUAAUAACCUUUCAAGACGUCAUAAUUAUUUGGACUAAUAAAGGGCAUAAAAUCAGAUACAAUUGAUUUACAUAAUUGGUAACAACAACAAUAAUAGAGACAUAUAUAUACAUAUAUAUUUGGAAUAUAAGCAUUGGUCAGAAUCAAGCUAAAAACCACAUAUAUAUUCAGGGAUGAUUCCACUAUAUAGUUUAGGGCCGCUAAGCGGCCCUUAAUUCGGCCAGCGGCCCCAAAAAAAUAUACAUGAAAAUGAAUUCCCAAUUCAGGAAAAUAAAAUAAAAAUCGAUAUUUCCGAAAAUUUCUGUCACCGAUUAGGGCAACUAUAAUUUUUCAUAGUUUGUUGUCCGGAUAAGAAUGCUGUUUAUGGUCGCAUUUUAUUAACAAAGAUUUAAUUAUGUCAACAUGUGGCAAACAUUUUAGCAGCCGAAUUCAAUUUAUCAUGUUUAUUAAUAUGUUAUGGGAGUAUUCGAUCUUGUAAAAGCAGAUCGCCCAGCAGGUUGAUAAAAUGGGUGUCAAAGCAGACCUCGGCAGAGAGCAAAUUCAAAUUUUGAUAUAACAUUGAUGGAUAAAGUUUAAUGGGCGCCGAUCUCGUAAAAGUAAAUCACCCAGCAGAUGCGGUUAUAUAAUAUGAUGAAAACUUGUUUUGUAAAAGAAAUUAUUUCCUCAAAAGACAAAAGUUUGAGCGUUUUUUGAAAAUAAUAUUGAUGAUAGACCAUUCAUAAAAUACGAUGUCAUCAUUAUGGAACUAUUUCAAAAGUUUUGAAGAUGAUCCAAAUAAUUUUAAAGAACGCUGGUUCAAUGCUUUAAAUAUCUUAUCAAUUAAGUAUAUGAACUUUUGUAAUUGCUUUUCUGAAUUCGACAAUUGACCAGUUCAAUUUGAAAUCCAUUUGAAUCAAGGUAAAUUUAUAGAGAUGACCUGCUGUUGAAAAAAUACCCGAUGAAUGAUUUUUUUAAGUGGUUUGUGUUAGCUGAAAUAUAUGUUUUUGUAAUAGGCCUAGGUAACUAUAGCUAAGGUGAUAGACUAGUAGUGCAUCAUGUUCAAUGAUAUUCAUGUAAUAACAGUAGCCCAUCCAGAAUUAUUCAAAACUUACAUGAACAUCAGUGUACAGGUUAAACUUAAUAAUAUACAUUUUCCGUUUUUACAGGAAAGUAUUGUUAUUUCGUCUUAGAUUUUAUGCUUAAAAAAUUCCCAAUUAGAAUAAAAAUUCCCAAUUUGAUGUUCAAGGGACCCGUUUGAAAACACCUGGAAUCAUCCCUGAUAUUGUGAAUAAAAGAAUAAUAAAAUUACAUUAUACAUGCAUGUUUCUCGUUUCUCGUUUUGUUUAUAUAGAUUAGACCGUUGGUUUUCCCGUUUGAAUGGUUUUACACUAGUAAUUUUGGGGCCCUUUAUAGCUUGUUGUUCGGUGUGAGCUAAGGCUCCGUGUUGAAGGCCGUACUUUAACCUAUAAUGGUUUACUUUUUAAAUUGUUAUUUGUAUGGAGAGUUGUCUCAUUGGCACUCACACCACAUCUUCCUAUAUCUAUAUAUGUAUUUAUUCUCAAAUUAUUUACUUGACUUAGUGUCAGUGUUCAGACCUGAUCUCCUUAAUUCAAAACAGUCACAAAUAUAACAGCCCAGUUUUUCCAUAAGUGGGUCAAGAGCCAUAAAAAUUUAGACAUGUUACAAGAUUUAUUUAAAUUUAUAAAAUUAUAACAAUUGUUAGAAAUGUCUUGAAAAAAAUCGUCCCUUUGAAGAAUAUAUAAGCCUUUUAAGACAUCACAAUUAUUUUGGACUACCACACACAAACAACACAUGCAAUCUAUUUACUCUUCCUUGUCACAGUGGUGUAGCUUGCAUGUAUGCUUAGAUGAGGGUAGCUUAUUGUCAGCUAAGGCUAGCGCAGAGGAUGAUGAUACGCAGUCCUGCGGACAUGUUUGGUAUGAAAUUUAGUCAAGCGCAGCUAUGACAAAGCUAUGUUACUAGCCAUGCUAGUUAACAACUAAACCAUAAUAUCCUUAUAUAUAUAUAUAGUUUCCUGUAACACGGAAACAACGUGAUAAAAACUCUAUUUGUAUUGGAGUGUUAUCAUUCCCGGGGUCAAAAUACCAUGAGGUAAAAUUUCCUGUGACACUAAAACAACAUGAUAAUCCAAGAGCUGAUUGCCCUGAGGUGGAAGAAGGUGAAUAAAAGGUAACUUGAAUUACCAUAAAAGCAGCCCCACUAACCCAGACUGCUUUGUACCAUUAUCGUUAUGACGUAUUUUUUUUCUUCAAACAAGAAUGUGUCAUAAGUACAUGGAUUUCCCAUCCGUACAAUCAUUUUAUGUUCAGUGGACCAAGGAAAAAAUUAGGUCAAAUCUUUAAUUUGGCAGUAAAAUUAGAAAUAUCACAUCAUAAGGAACACAUCUAUAAUACUAAAAUAACGAGGUCCAAUUUGUCAGCCGUCAUGGGGUAAAAACGACAAAUCAAAGAAUUUAACUUUAUAUAUAUAGCUAAUAUAGGACAACGGUGUUGAUUAAAAAUUACACCACUCCAGACCCUUUUGUUUUCCACAUAAUUAAUAUUGCCAAUAAUUAACAAGUUCCGGGUCGAAUCGGAUACCGAUACCAAUAGUAUAUUCACAUGUUACCUAUUACCUUAUCUAUACGUUCCGCAUCUGACAGGCGCACCAUUAGGAUUUUGCUAAAUACACGGGUCAUAAUCACAGGGUUGACACUACUAAAUUCAAUCAUUGUCACAUUGUUCCCUAUUGUAGUAUUUUAAUUAAAGUAUGACUUUCUAAGAUGACAAUAUGAAUACUAAAAAUCUGGACUUAAAAUAAUGCGUAUAUAUACAGUUUUCAAUUUGUUUGCCGGCAUGACGUAAAACAUGGAAUCAAAGAAUUCAACUUAUUUAUAACUAAUACAAGACAAUGCUGUUGAUUAAAAAAUACUCCAUUCCAGGCCCUUUUGUUUUCCAAAUGAUUAAUAUUACCAAUAAUUGAUAAGUUCCAGGUUGACGGGUUCAAACAGAAAGAUUUUGAAAGAAGAAAAAACUGUACAUCUUAUAAUCGGCAUUACUUUAUCAGAUGACAAUACCAAUACUAAAAUAAGGCUUACGCAUAUUUAUAUACUUUAAUUCAGUCACCGACCCACGAUAUCAAGGGUGUGUUCUAGUGUGUACUAAGUUUCAAGUUGAUUGGAUUUCAACUUCAUCAAAAACUACCUCGACCAUAAACUUUAACCUGAAGCAGGACGGACGGACAGACCAGAAAACAUAAUGCCCAUAAAUGGGGCAUAAAAAUAGUAAGACUUGUUACAUACCUGCCAACUUUUGAAAGUUUCCAUGUUUUUUUUUAGUGCGCAACAACAAUUUUAAAGGUUACAAUUUUUAGCGAAGUAUUUUGCACGAUCUGGAUUGUCUAGAAAAAGUGUCAUAUUUGUAUGAUGAGCUUACAUGCCUUUUUCUUAAGUCUGUUUGCAUGAUUCUAGUUAUUAAAUCAGUAGAAAAGAUGAACAUGUAGCUAGCAGACCAGGGUUUAUUUUCUUGAGUAAGAAUAUUAGAUGCUUGUUGAAAUUUCCAAUUUUGAAUUAUGCACAAAGAUAGACCUUUAACAGGUUGGGAACAAUACUCCAAAUGAGGGAUAACCCUCAUUGGAAGAACAUUACAACCCACUGUAAAAAAUAAGCACCUUUAUAUUCAUAUUAUUUGAUAAACUUUUCCCCAAGAACUAUGCAUCUAUCAAGUAUUAUUAAGAAAGUGAAACAACUCCCAUAAGCAUGUUAGGCAAAAAUCAUAAGCAAUGAACUUCUGUUUUUAAAUACAUGCUUUACUAAUAAAGAUAAAGACAAUUUAACCCAAAAAAAAAUUAUGAGCAUCAUCCUUUUUAAAUAAACGAAGCCUUAAAUGUUAUGUUUCUGACAUAAGAUUUGACAGAUUUUAUUGUUUCAGACAUAAGAUUUGACAGACUUUAUCAUUUCUGACAUAAGAUUUGACAGACUUUAUCAUUUCUGACGUAAGAUUUGACAGACUUUAUUUUUUCAUAUAUAAGAUUUGACAGACUUUUUUUUUCAUACAUAAGAUUAGACAGACUUUUUUUUUCUGACAUAAGAUUUGACAGACUUUAUUUUUUCUGACAUAAGAUUUGACAGACAAAUUGAGUUUCUGACAUAAGAUUUUGACAGACUUGAUUCUGACAUAAGAUUCUUCAUACAUAAGAUAUUUUGACAGACAAUAUAUAUUUGUUUUUUUUUACUGACAUUGGAAAUCAAAUCCUAGUUGAAAGUCAUUUUUAAAACUCCUGGAAAAUACUGCAGCCUAACAUCUAACAAGAUUUCACCUCAGGUCAAACAACUUUAACUGUUAGCACAUUCAAAUGUUUCCAGACAUAAGAAAACAAGUUUGACAGAUCUUAUGUAGGAAACAUAUUUAAAAGUUUAAACUAUUGCUUGAAUAAAGUUAAAUAAAAGGAUCAACAUGUGUUUUUUUUUAUGCACAGCAUGAUUUACAGUUUUAACUGGCAUAUAUUGGAACCAACAAUGAUUUCGAAAGUUUUUACAGCAAUAUUCCUGACAUAAGAUUUAUUGACAGACACUGAGCUAUAAAGCAAAAUAUUUGAAAGUGAAAAAAAUAUAUAUAUCACAGAUGUUUUUGACUAAAAAAAGUAACUGAUUUGGGAACAGGGAUGUUUGAAUAACCAGACUACACUAUAAAAUACCAGUAUACAAGCAUGACAAGUGUCAAAAUAAAGCAUUGCGACACAUAAACAUUGUGUAAAAAAAUGGGAGUUAAUUCUGUCAAAAUUUUUUGCAUUUUUUCACUUCAUCUAACAUCAUUUAUUAUUCAUCAAAACAUUCACAGAUUAUCUUUAAAAUAACAGUAAUUAUUAUUUUUAUUUAUUUAUUCAUCUUGACAGACAUUUUCAUUUCUUACAUGGAAUCUGCAGCCUAUUGUAAGUUUGUUAACACCAAUGGAUUGUUAUGAGAUUUGCACAGAAGCUCACCAUUCCCCCUAUCCUGUCCCUCCCCUCCCAAAAAAAAUAAUUAAAAAUAAUUACAAACUCUUGAAUCAUAAAGAAGCUCCCCUUUAAAAAAAAAUAAGAAUGUAAGAAUGCAUUGUGUAUUUUAUAUGUAUACUAUUGUUUUUCUGUUUGUCUUUUUCAUUUUUAGCCAUGGCGUUGUCAGUUUGUUUUAGAUUUAUGAGUUUGACUGUCCCUUUGGUAUCUUUCGUCCCUCUUUUAUACAGCUGAAGAAAACAUCAAUACAUAUGAACAAUAUAAUCAUUUAAUAUAAAUGCAGCAUGAUGGAACGACAAUGAUGUUUACACAUAAAUACUUAGAACAUCUUCUAUCAAAAGACAAAAAAAGGCAACUUAUGAAUGCAAAUAUCUAAAGCAUAUAUCUCUGAUCUUUUGUCCCCCAAGGGUGACUGGGGUAUAGAAAUAUGGUCAAUUGGUCUUCUCCCGACCGGCAGUAAAACGCUUGCCGAAGUGGGGCGUCCGUUUGGCUGUGCGGGAUGUAUCAAGUUCGCAGUCACGUCCGUCAGAAGGGGACGUUAAAUCCGAUGCCUCGUGUAAAGAGAGUGCCACGCUCUUUGCACGUUAAGAACUCUUACAACAACUCUUUUGAGGGGUCUGUAGGUGGCCUGUUGUAAGGCAAAAUUUCUGUCCCUAUCCAAGAUACCCUCAUUUCCCAGUGGCAGUCCAAAUUUCCCCGACCAUCAUCCCAGAUGGCCUCUAUCAUAUCAACCUACCUAAUUGUAUUUAUUGUGAACUUGUUCUCGUCCUGAAUAUGCAUGAAAUAUUUGCCACUGGAUGUUAAGCAACCAACAAUCAAUCAAUCAAUCUGAUCUUUUGUAUCUAAUCUUAUCGAAAAAAAUUCAAAUUGGGAAAUGUUGAUAGGUCAUGUUUACUGUAAGAUAACAGCUGAGUGAAAGUUGUAAAUGUGUACCCUGUCAGCACAGGGGCGGAUCCAGGGGGGGGAUUUCCGGGGGUGCGCACCCCCCUUUAUUUUUGCCGAUCAAUGCAUUUGUAUCGGGACAUAUGUUUUGCACCCCCCUUUGACCUGGGUGCCCUGGGUUAGCACCCCCCUUUCGAAAAUUCCUGCAUCCGCCCCUGCUCCCUCUUGUCGCCAUAUGAUCAUCCUUUAUAGCCAUCCUCACCAUGAGUUAUGGUGUAUAAAUGAAGACGUUUGGAACCUGUUUUGGUACAGAUUAAUUUGAGCAUUUGUCUACCGAUUUCCCAAGCCAGGCCGUGAAGGGUCUUAUUGCCAGACAGUUAACCUUACCCAUACAUAAUCCAAUGUAAUAAAAUAAAACAUACCAACUCAGCCAGUCCUCAAAGUAUAAAAGUGCAAAACUGUAACAGGUGUACUUUUUCUAUGUAUCUGAUAUCCUUUUUAGCUCACCUGGCCCAAAGGGACAAGUGAGCCUAUCUCAUCACUUGGUGUCCGUCAUCCGUGUCCUUCAUCGUCAUUGUUAACUUUUACAAAAAACUUUUCCUCUGAAACUACUGGGCCAAAUUUAACCAAACUUGGCCACAAUCAUCAUUGGGGUAUCUAGUUUAAAAAAUGUGUCCAGUGACCCAGCCAACCAUUCAAGAUGGCCACCAGGGCUAAAAAUAGAACAUAGGGGUAAAAUGUAAAUUUUGGCUUAUACAGUAUAGCGGGUUAUUUUCGUGGGUGUAAAAUUUCACGAUUUUCAUUGAGCAAGGUAUACGGAAUAUUUUGCCGGUUUUUAUUUUGACAGAUUCAAAACCUUAUGAAUGCCUUUGAAUGUGCCGUUUUAAAUUGGCAGAAUUUAUUUUGGCGAUUUUGUUUUAUCUGCGUAAAUAAGCCAAAAUUGUCACCCCUCGAAAAUAACCCGCUAUACAGUAUCUCUGAAACCAAAGCAUUUAGAGCAAAUAUGACAUGGGGAAAAAUUGUUUAUCAGGUCAAGAUCUACAUGUAUUUGCCCUGAAAUUUUCAGACAAAUUGGACAACCCAUUGUUGGGUUGCUGCUCCCGAAAUUAGUAAUUUUAAGGAAAUUUUGCAGGUUUUGCUUAUUAUCUUGAAUAUUAUAAAAGAUAAAGAUAAACUGUAACCGCAAUAAUGUUCAGCAAAGUUAGAGAUCUGCAAAUAAGUCAGCAUGACCAAAAUUGUCAGUUGACCCCUUAAGGAGUUAUUGCCCUUUAUAGUCAAUUUUUAACCAUUUUUCCAACAUUUUAGUAAUCUUUUUAAAAAAUCUUCUCCUCUGAAACUAUUUUUAACCAAACUUGUCCACAAUCAUCAUUAGGGCAAUGUAGGGUAUUUAGUUUAAAAAAUGUGUUUGAUGAUCCCGCCUGUGAACCAAGAUGGGUGUCAUGGCUUAGAAUAGUACAUACAUGUAGAGUAAAAUGCAGUUUUUGGCUCAUAUCUCAGAAACCAAAGCAUUUAGGGCAAAUCUGAUCAGGAUAAAUUUCUUCGAUAAGUCACGGUCUGUCUGCCCUGAAAUUUGUAAACCAAUCAGGCAACCCGUUGUUGGGUUGCUACCACUGAAUCGGUAAUUUUAAGAAUAUUUUGCAGCUUUUGGUUAUAUCUUAAAUAUUAUUUAUAUAGAUACAGAUAAACUGUAAACAGCAAUAAUGUACAGCAAAGUAAGACCUACAAAUAAUUCAGCAUGAUCAAAACGGUCAAUUGACCCCUUAAGGAGAUAUUGCCCUUUAUAGUCAAUUUUUAACAAUUUUCAUAAAGGAGUAGGUACAGUAAGACCCCUUUUUGGCACCAAAAUAUAGCAGUUUUACAUAGUUGUUAAAAUGUAAACUUUUAGUUACUUAUUGGAAAGUAGAAUGCUUCUGCUACAUAAAUAUGGGCUGUUUUUGACAAAACAAUGCUUAUAUAUCGGGUACUAUAGCACCAAUAAGUCAUGCUAACCAUUUCCCAAGCCAGGCCGUGAAGGGUCUUAUUACCAGACAGUUAACUUUCCCAAUACAUAAUCCAAUGUAAUAAAAUAAAACAUACCAACUCAGCCAGUCCUCAAAGUAUAAAAGUGCAAAACUGUAACAGGUGUACUUUUUCUAUGUAUCUGAUAUCCUUUUUAGCUCACCUGGCCCAUCUGAAAUCUUCACAAUUUUAGCAUUUUAGUUAAAUUUUAGAUGGUUUUCGUGUGAAAUGAAAGUGGCCGCUUUCGUGUUCAUCCUUAAUAUUGAAAUGUAAGUUGUAUUUGAUGAUAAUACGUAACAUAUAUAAAGGUUGAGGAUGAACACGGAUGCGGCCACUUUCAUUUCUGACAAAAACCAUCUGAAAAGUGACAUUUUUCAGCAUAUAUAUAUUUGCUAAAUUUUUCAUAUUUUGAGCUUGAUUCGGGUCAUUUUUAAUGACUAAAUCAGUUCAAAUCUUUCACAUAAACUAAUUGAUUCAAAUAAAAUAGACACUUCAGUGUUUAAAAAGUGAUCAAAAUCUUUCGUCAGAUAAACCUGAAAUUAGAGGCCAAAAUCGGUCAUUACCGGACCUACUCCUUUGAAUUUUGUAAAUUUUUACAAAAUACUUAAAGUACUGGGCCAAGUUUAAUAUAGAUAGAGAUUAUUGUAAGGAGCAAGAAUGUUCAAUUAACAUGAUUAAAUAAGAUCUACAAACACAUCACCAUCACCAAAACACAAUUUUGUCAUGAAUUCAUCUGUGUCCUUUGUUUAUGAUAUGCACCUAUACCAAGGUGAGCGACAAAGGAUCUUAGAGGACUCUAGUUUAAAUGUUUGUGUGCUUUAGAUAAAAUGAGACAGGGUUACCCCGGAUACAAAAUUCAAUCAAAACCGACACUGCCGAACUGCCCUGCUAUAUCAAUGGAAGAGAAAAUCUGAAAUUCCUAUUGCCUAGGUCUGAAAGUUUCCAAUGGAAACUACUAAUGGGUCCCAUAUGGGUAGAGACUGUAGUACAUGUCUCAAACAUUCAAACAAACCUGAAAAUAUCUGCAGAGGUUGGAACCCCCCAUUUUUUUGGACGAUCAAUGCAUUUGAAUGGGAGCAUAUAGUUGGAACUCCCCUCCCCUUUACUUUGGGUUGGGAAUCCCCCCUUUUAAAAUGGCUAGAUUCUCUCUACAAAUGUCAACCUCCAAACCAUGUAGGGACGACCAGCAUUCUAAACACGUGUCAACAUUUUCCUUGAAUCCGAACUUAAUAAAAUCGUGACAAUUGCAGAGAAUCACCUCAUCUAUCUUGCAAUGAGACAUGUUCUCCUCUUUCCAAUGAUAUCAUAUACAGUGAAACCUGACUAAACCGAACCCUGUCGGGACUUGAGAUUUUGUUCGGUUUUGGCAGGUAUUCGGUUUCAUCAGGUUCACAAUGCAUAAAAUGUGAUAUGAUUGGUCUUCAGAACAAGUUUGGAUUAGACAGGUUUCCGGUUUAUUCAGGGUUCGGUUUAAUCAGGUUUCACUGUACAUCUUUAUGUUAUUGCGUCAACCCAAAAUCGAUCAAAUUUGUUGACGAGGCCUUCUACUAUAUACAUGUGUCAGUGGCGGAUCCAGAGGGGGGGUUCCGGGGGUCCGCACCCCCCCUUUAUUUUGGCCGAUCAAUGCAUUUGAAUCGGGACAUAUGUUUUGCACCCCCCCUGCACCCCCCCCUUUGCCCUGGGCUAGCACCCCCCCUUUCGAAAAUUCCUGCAUCCGCCACUGUGUGUCUCUUGUGUAAUGAAGGAAUUAUUAUUAUAAUGAUACAGUUUCAAGGGAGUUAACUCUUGGCGCGAUGUUAAGUGUUUGCAUUCCCGCAGAAAGCGACGUUUGGUAAAAGUAAAUCGUGUACCUUUCCGCUGUAAUAAGAAACAUAAAGUUGAUUUUUGAUGCUCCAAUUUCAGCAUCUUUUGUGAAAAAGUUAAACACUACUAUACCAUGUAAACGUAGAAAUAAGUAAUAAGCAGCCCCUCGAUAUUUUCCAAAGUCCUUAAUUUUUUUCUAUUCAAAUAAUUUCAAUUAUCUUUGCGUUUUUUCUGUAUGAUGUGAACAUAUUAUUAGAAAUAAUUUCUUUUCACCAUUUACUAUUGAUUCCAAGCUAAAGUUAACUAUAUUCAUAGCUGUCACUGAUGCAUAAUAUAUUGGUCACUAAAGUGUUAGUUACUUAGUGACAUAAUCAUUAAUUCUUUAUAUGUUGUGACAUACAUGACAUAAGUAAAAUAAUGAAGUGAAUAAAUAUAUAUUUUCAGCCUACAAGAAGACCAAUGUCGAUCAAGUAAUUCCAUGGUUGCCUUCAUUAUUCUAACUGUAUACACUUAAAGUUUAUCGUUUCUAAGACAAAUACCACACAGAAGAAAUAUAGACAUUUAUCACUAGACGGACAAAGAACUACAUUAGAAGCUAUGUCUUAUAACGAAGUUGAUGCAGUUAUCUCUCUUGAUGAGACUCGUUGCCAUGUCAAUCGGCAAUCCUCAGGUGACUCCGCAACUUUGACGAAUCAUUGUCAUGCCAAUCGGCAAUCCUCGGGAGACUCAUCUACUGUGACGAAUCAUUGCCAUGCCAAUCGGCGAUCCUCAGAAGACUUCACUACUGUGACGAAUCAUUGCCAUGCCAAUCGGCAAUCCUCGGAAGACUCUGCUACUGUGACAAAUGAUUGCCAUGCACCACUGGACCAAACAAGAUGUAAAAUUGAGGACCAAACUGUGUAUGAUGAAGAAUGGAGUUGUAAUUCAGAAUUGAGAAUAAAUACAGGAAUUACACCAUCAAAAUUUGAUAUAGAUAUCAAAGCGGAGAGUGAUUCAGAGAAUUCUGUAUUGCAAGGACACAUGAGAACCCAAACAUCUGAUGAAACGUUUGUAUGUAGUGUAUGUGAUAAAAACUUCUUUCGGGAAACUGAUUUACUUGUACACAUGAGAAUACACCCACCUUAUAAAUGUGAUAUAUGUCAAAAAGAGUUCAGUACAAAUGGCAACUUAAAAACCCAUAUGAAAACACAUCCCAUGGAAAAACGUUUACAGACUCACACGAAAACACAUACUGGUGAUAAUCCUUAUAAAUGUGAUGUAUGUUGUAAAGUCUUUAAAACCAAACGAGGUUUAAAACAACACAAACAAAUACAUUCUGUUGAUGAACCACCUAUGAAAUGUGAAAUCUGCUGUAGAGGGUUCUAUAAAAAAAGCAUCUUAACUAUCCACAUGAGAACACAUACUGGUGAUAAACCUCACAAAUGUGAUGUAUGUUGCAAACGGUUUAAUCAUAAACCCAACUUAACUGUACACAUGAGAUUACAUACUGGUGAAAAACCUUAUAAAUGUGACUUAUGUUGUAGAAGGUUUAAUAGUAAGGGGCAUAUGACUAAACACAUGGCAUCGCAUAAAGAUAAAGGCAACUUAACUGUACACAUGAGAUUACAUACUGGUGAAAAACCUUAUAGAUGUGACUUAUGUUGUAGAAGGUUUAAUAGUAAGGAGCAUAUUACUAAACACAUGGCAUCGCAUAAAGGAAAAAGUAAACAAUUUAAAUGUAAUGAGUGUGGUUUAGAAUAUAAUUUGAAGAGUUUAUUACGGUUACACAUAAAGAAAACACACAUGAAAAAGAGAGUUACUGAAUGUGAUUUAUGUGGUAAAAUGUGUAUAGAUCCAAGAACACUUACCAAACACACGAGAACACAUAUUGGUGAAAAACCUUAUAACUGUGACGUUUGUAACAAAGAUUUUAAUCAAAGAGGAAGCUUAAAUCAACACAUGAAAUUACAUACGGGGCAAGUAACUAGUGAUACACCUUAUAAAUGUGAUGUUUGCGGUAUAGAGUUCAAGCAAAGGGACACCUUAACCACCCACAUGAGAACACAUACUGGUGACAAUCUUUAUGAAUGUGAUGUUUGCUAUAAAGUGUUCAAUCAGAAAGGCCAUUUAGCAAUACACAUGAGAAACCAUACUGGAGAUAAACCUUACAAAUGUCAUUUAUGUUUUAGAGGGUUUAAUUAUAAAGGGAGCUUGACUAGACACGUGGGCACACAUGCUGAAGAUCAACUUUAUAAAUGUGAGGUUGAACCUUAUAAAUAUUUAACCAGACACAUGGGAACACAUGCUGAUGAUAACCUUUAUACAUGUGAUGUUAAAUCUUAUGAAUGUGAUGUUUGUGGUAAAGGAUUCAAUCUAAAAGGAGAUGUAAAAAGACACAUGAGAACACACACUGAAGAUAGACCGUAUAAAUGUGAUGAUUGCUGUCAG
rnacentral:lncRNA from 1 species